rnacentral:rRNA from 1 species
UACGGGGGGGGCAAGCGUUGUUCGGAAUUACUGGGCGUAAAGGGCUCGUAGGUGGCCAACUAAGUCGGACGUGAAAUCCCUCAGCUUAACUGGGGAACUGCGUCCGAUACUGGAUGGCUCGAGUUUGGGAGAGGGAUGCGGAAUUCUAGGUGUAGCGGUGAAAUGCGUAGAUAUCUGGAGGAACACCGGUGGCGAAGGCGGCAUCCUGGACCAACACUGACACUGAGGAGCGAAAGCCAGGGGAGCAAACGGG